UGGGGGAAACCCUGACCGAGCGACGCCGCGUGUGGGAUGAAGGCCCUCGGGUUGUAAACCACUGUCAACGGGGAGGAAAUGCAGAGGGGUUCUCCCCUCUGUUUGACCUAUCUGUGGAGGAAGUACGGGCUAAGUUCGUGCCAGCAGCCGCGGUAAGACGAACCGUACAAACGUUACUCGGAAUUACUGGGCUUAAAGGGUGCGUAGGCUGCGCGGAAAGUUGGGUGUGAAAGCCCUCAGCUCAACUGAGGAAUUGCACUCAAAACUACCGUGCUCGAGGGAGACAGAGGUAAGCGGAACUCAAGGUGGAGCGGUGAAAUGCGUUGAUAUCUUGAGGAACACCGGUGGCGAAGGCGGCUUACUGGGUCUCUUCUGACGCUGAGGCACGAAAGCCAAGGUAGCAAACGGGAUUAGAUACCCCGGUAGUCUUGGCUGUAAACGAUGAGCACUUGAUUGAAGGGUCCUCCAUAGCCUUUCAGUCGUAGCGAAAGUGUUAAGUGCUCCGCCUGGGGA
rnacentral:rRNA from 1 species